CCUACGGGUGGCAGCAGUGAGGAAUAUUGGUCAAUGGGCGGGAGCCUGAACCAGCCAAGUCGCGUGAGGGAAGACGGUCCUAUGGAUUGUAAACCUCUUUAGGCGGGGAGCAAUGCCGGGCACGCGUGCCCGGAGGGAGAGUACCCGCAGAAUAAGCAUCGGCUAACUCCGUGCCAGCAGCCGCGGUAAUACGGAGGAUGCGAGCGUUAUCCGGAUUUAUUGGGUUUAAAGGGUGCGUAGGCGGAUUUUUAAGUCAGCGGUAAAAUGUCCGGGCUCAACCCCUUCCCGCCAUUGAAACUGGCGCUCUUGAGUGGAAGAGAAGUAUGCGGAAUGCGUGGUGUAGCGGUGAAAUGCAUAGAUAUCACGCAGAACCCCGAUUGCGAAGGCAGCAUGCCGGCUUCCGACUGACGCUGAAGCACGAAAGCGUGGGGAUCGAACAGGAUUAGAUACCCUUGUAGUC
rnacentral:rRNA from 1 species